GCCCAGGUGGUGGAAUUGGUAGACACGCAGGACUUAAAAUCCUGUUCCUCUGGAGUGCGGGUUCGAUUCCCGCCCUGGGCACCA
rnacentral:tRNA from 1 species